GUUCUCUUCUGCAGCACAUAUACUAAAACUGGAACAAAAGAGAGAAGAUUAGCAUGGCCCCUGCACAAAGAUCAUAUGCAAAUUCAUGAAGUGUUCCAUAUUUUA